UUCAAAACCCGAAUCCGACUCCAAACCCGAGACCCGAACCCGAACCCGAACCCGAACCCAAAUCCGAAAAUUUGAACCCGAAACAAUUAUUUCUUUUUUCAAUAUUUCAAAAUAUAUUAUAUUAAAUCUAAAUUUUUAAAAUACAAAUUCAAGUAUAACAUCAAAUUUUAAUAUAUAUAUUAUAUAUAAUACAAAAAUAAAUUCGGGUUCGGGUCGGGUUUGGGUUCGGGUCGGGUACAGUCAAAAUCCAUAUCGUAAUCCAUAUCCGUCGGAUUUUUAUUUUUAAUAUCCAUAUCUGAAUCCAUAUUCAUUUAGCAUCGGAUAUAUCCGUUUCAUUCGGGUUCGAAUUCGGAUGAAAUUUCGGGUAUCCUACAUUGACAUCCCUACUGACUAGGCGGUGUAUCGAGCCGAACACGGGCGAGCUGGGGCCGGCUCGUGUUCGGCUUGUUUAAACGCAAGCUGGCUCAUUAAAGUAUCGAGCUGAAAAAUUCAGCUCGUGUUCGACUCGUUAAUAAACGAGCCGAACACGAGCUGGCUCACGAGCUGGCCAACGAACAAUAAAUUUAAAAAAAAUUAGAUUGAAUAUAUAAAAAAUAAAUUUAUAAAAUCUUAUCCAUUAGACUUUGAUCUAAUAGUUAAAACUUUACAUAUAAAUGAGUUUUUUUAUAAUUAA
rnacentral:lncRNA from 1 species